rnacentral:tRNA from 1 species
GGGCCCGUAGCUCAGCAUGGAUAGAGCGCCGGCCUCCGGAGCCGGAGGUCGGGGGUUCGAGUCCCCCCGGGCCCGCCA